rnacentral:rRNA from 1 species
ACCCCCAAGGGCAUCCCAGCAGUGAUAAAAAUUAAGCAAAUAAGCGCAAGCUUGACUUAGUUAUAGCAAAGAGAGUUGGUCAACCUUGUGCCAGCCGCCGCGGUUAUACAAGAAACUCAAACCAACAGAAAACCGGCGUAAAAUGUGACUAAAACAAUUAUCUAAAAAAUUAAGGAAAACCAUGUACUCAACUGUCAUACGUAAAAGUACACAAUAACCCCAAUAUGAAAAUAACCUUAAUGUAAAUAGAACUAUUUGAACCCACGAUCGCUAAGAUACAAACUCGGAUUAGAUACCCCACUAUGCUUAGCCAUAAACAGAUAUUUCACACACAAAAAUAUCCGCCAGAGAACUACGAGCAAAACGCUUAAAACUCUAAAGACUUGGCGGUGCCUUAAACCCCCCUAGAGGAGCCUGUUCUAUAAUCGAUAAUCCACGAUUCACCUCACCAUCUCUUGCCAAUACCGCCUAUAUACCUCCGUCACCAGCCUACCCUGUGAGGGAUAUAAAAGUAAGCAAAAUAACAAAUCAACAGUUAACAAGUCAGGUCAAGGUGUAGCUAACUGAGAUGGAAGAAAUGGGCUACAUUUUCUAAACUAGAAAUUAUCUCACGGAAAGAACUAUGAAACAAGUCCUAUAAGUAGGAUUUAGCAGUAAAUAGGGAUCAGAAUGCCCAAUUUAAGCCGGUCCUAAGGCACGCACACA